rnacentral:lncRNA from 1 species
AUUUUAGGUGAUGACGCUCUAGUUUUCUCCAAGGAAUGAAAACACAAAGUUCGGCCUCACAUGAGGUGGUGAAGUUUCAUUUAACUUACGUGGACUGCCCAGAAGGGGGACCUUUCAUCUGACCUGCCUCUCUCUGCAGAGUUAAUGAUUAUCCCAGGAGAAACACUAUUUUUCCAGAGAAGAUCCUGUUUCAUUUUUGGUCUGAGCUACAUUUAUUGUCUCUGAACCGUGAACUUCAAACCCGUGGAAAGGAAUGUUGUGUUGGCUUGUUGUGUUUAAAGGUGUAAUGGAAAUUGAGUUCACUAAAGGAAAAGUCUACAUCUAGUUUUGCUUGUUUUACAGCUUUGUUGAAAUACUUUCCCCUCACGAUGUGUCAAUCGUAACUUGCUUUGAAAAUUAAUGUCUAUAGCAGUAAGCUAAAGCUAAACAUUAAUAAUUUUUAACUUUACCUUUUAUUGACAAACCCAAUAAACUGUUCAAGUAAAAUUCAGUCUUUGGCAAGUUACAAUAUAAUUUGAAUUGUGCAAAUCCUUGUCUUUAUACCAGAAGUAGGGCUCAGUUAAUGUUUAAGUGCUAAUUCCUCUUAUCAAAGGAAAACACUACAAUAAAGACAUUUGUCAACUGAACAGUUAAAAAGCUUUUUCAUGGUUCUUCUCUGUAUUAAACAUUAGCUGGCUUUGCUUUUUUUUUUUUUUUAGAUUUAUUUACUUAUUUUAGAGAGAGAAUGCAAGCAGGAGAGGCAGAGGGAAAGGAAGAGAGAAUCUCAAGCAGGCUCCACCCUGAGUGCAAGCCUGAUGCAGGGCUGGAUCCCAGGACCCCAAGAGCAUUACCUGAGCCAAAACCAAGAGCUGGCCGCUUCACUGGCUGCCACCCAUGCACCCUGUGGCUUUGUCUUUUCUUAAAAAAUCUGCACGUGAGGCUGCACGUGGUGCCCUGACUGCUGGUGUCAGUGAUAUUUAACGUGGGCACCACCGUUCUUGACAUCUCGGCUUUCAUCACCUGCUCUACUGCCCUUGAGCUGACGUCCCUGAAGGGCACCCUGCCGAGUAACCAGUGGACAGCUGC